rnacentral:rRNA from 1 species
AGAGUUUGAUCAUGGCUCAGAACGAACGCUGGCGGCGUGGAUAAGACAUGCAAGUCGGACGAGAUUUCGUCCUGUAGCAAUACGGGAAGAAGUCUAGUGGCGAACGGGUGCUUAACACGUGGGCAAUUUGUCUUAAAGUGGGGGAUAGCUCGGCGAAAGCCGAAUUAAUACCGCAUGUGAUUAGAGUGGACAUCCAUUCAAAAUUAAAGUCGGGGCAACCUGACGCUUUUUGAGAAGCCCGCGGCCUAUCAGCUAGUUGGUGAGGUAACGGCUCACCAAGGCUUUGACGGGUAGCUGGUCUGAGAGGACGACCAGCCACACUGGGACUGAGACACGGCCCAGACACCUACGGGUGGCAGCAGUCGAGAAUUUUUCUCAAUGGGGGAAACCCUGAAGGAGCGACGCCGCGUGGAGGAUGAAGGUCUUCGGAUUGUAAACUCCUGUCAUUGGGGAACAAUGCGUGACGAUUAACUGCCGUCGCGUUGAUAGUACCCGAAGAGGAAGAGACGGCUAACUCUGUGCCAGCAGCCGCGGUAAUACAGAGGUCUCAAGCGUUGUUCGGAUUCAUUGGGCGUAAAGGGUGCGUAGGCGGCGCGGUAAGUCGGGUGUGAAAUCUCGGAGCUUAACUCCGAAACUGCAUUCGAUACUGCCGUGCUCGAGGACUGGAGAGGAGACUGGAAUUUACGGUGUAGCGGUGAAAUGCGUAGAUAUCGUAAGGAAGACCAGUGGCGAAGGCGGGUCUCUGGACAGUUCCUGACGCUGAGGCACGAAGGUCAGGGGAGCAAACGGGAUUAGAUACCCCAGUAGUCC